rnacentral:lncRNA from 1 species
GCGGGCUGGCAAAGGUGCUCUAGGACUUGGGAGCAUUCACGGGAGAUCCCGGGAAGGAAAGAGAGUCGAGACGCGGGAGCUGGGAGAUGGGCGGCCGGAACCGGAUUGGGCAGGGCACUGGGGGCGGGAACAGAACUGCGGAAGCAGGAGUGGGACCGAAGACCUUCCACCCUGACACCCUAGCCAGCCCCGCGUCCCCACCCGACAGGUGCGGCUCCCAGACCACGGAAGACCCCAGAGGCAAAUUCCCAACGAGGCACACGGCGAGGGCAGGGUUGGGAUGGCUGGAAUGCUGAGGGUGGGAGGUCUUCGGUCCCACAGCAGAAGCUCGCCUAGUCAUGGCUCUCAGCCUGGAAGUGACCGCCAAGAAAUCGCUCGACAUCCAGGCCCAGCGCCCAACCUGGAUGAUCACCAGCACCAACGUGGCUUUGGCCCGAGGGUCCAAGAGAAAGAGACGGAAUUUCACUCUUGUCGCCAGGCUGCAGUGCAAUGGCGUGAUCUCAGCUAGCUGCAACCUCCACCUCCCAGGCCAAGCUGGGGGUAACGCCACCUGUGACCAGCUGAAUGCCCGGUAGAAGUGUACCAGGGGAGCCCACCAGUAUCUCCACACAAUCAUGGGACGAAAAUCGUGGUUUUACUUCGCGACUUCAGGAUGAGCCCUAUGGGAACCAGCAGCCCCCCACCCACAAACCAGAUAGCCGCUCCGGAGCCCGCAGCUCAGCCCCACUGGGAGGGCCUGCGGCUAAUGCAAGGAUUCUGACCAAUGCGGUCUAAAGAGAAUGAGAGAGGGGGCUGCGGCCCGAGAAACUGAGGCAAAG